rnacentral:lncRNA from 1 species
GAGUAGUGAGAUGUGAGGCUCCCAAUAACAAAUCGGACAAAUUCUCAGGAAUACUGACCUAUAAGGGGAAAAACUACUUCCUGGACCAUGACAAUUUGCUACUCUGAGGCUGCAUCACCAGGAAUACAGAUUGGUGCUAUGGCUUGGUGAUCUACACUGGGCCAGACACCAAAUUAAUGCAGAACAGUGGAAUGUCUACUUUUAAACGAACACAGAUAGACUGUCUCAUGAAUGUUCUUGUACUCUGGAUUUUCCUGGUUUUAGGCAUCGUAUGUUUUAUCCUAGCGGUUGGGCAUGGCAUUUGGGAGAACAAGAAAGGCUACCACUUCCAGAUUUUUCUGCCAUGGGAAAAAUAUGUCUCUUCAUCAGCUGUCUCUGCCAUCCUCAUAUUCUGGUCCUACUUCAUUAUUCUCAAUACCAUGGUACCCAUUUCCCUCUAUGUCAGUGUUGAAAUAAUAAGAUUGGGCAACAGUUUCUAUACCAACUGGGAUCAGAAGAUGUUUUAUGCACCAAGGAAUACACCAGCACAGGCUCAUACUACCACCCUUAAUGAGGAGCUCGGCCAAGUCAAAUAUAUAUUCUCUGACUAA